AUCGGGGUAGCACAGUCUGGCUAAUGCGCUGCGCUCAUAACGCAGAGACCGAUGGUUCAAAUCCAUCCCCCGGUA
rnacentral:tRNA from 1 species